rnacentral:rRNA from 1 species
UACGGAGGGUGCAAACGUUGCUCGGAAUUAUUGGGCGUAAAGCGCACGUAGGCGGUCCACUAAGUCGGAUGUGAAAGCCCCGGGCUCAACCCGGGAAGUGCAUUCGAAACUGGCGGGCUUGAAUAUGGAAGAGGGUCGCGGAAUUCCCGGUGUAGAGGUGAAAUUCGUAGAUAUCGGGAGGAACACCAGUGGCGAAGGCGGCGACCUGGGCCAAUAUUGACGCUGAGGUGCGAAAGCGUGGGGAGCAAACAGG